UGAGGAAUAUUGCGCAAUGGGCGAAAGCCUGACGCAGCGACGCCGCGUGGGGGAUGAAGGUCUUCGGAUUGUAAACCCCUUUCAGGAGGGAAGAUGGGGCGGGCAACCGCUCGGACGGUACCUCCAGAAGAAGCCACGGCUAACUUCGUGCCAGCAGCCGCGGUAAUACGAAGGUGGCAAGCGUUGUUCGGAUUUACUGGGCGUAAAGAGAGCGUAGGCGGUUUGGUAAGCCCUGUGGGAAAGCUCCCGGCUCAACCGGGAAAGGUCGCAGGGGACUGCUUGACUUGAGGACGGGAGAGGAGCGCGGAAUUCCCGGUGUAGCGGUGAAAUGCGUAGAGAUCGGGAGGAAGGCCGGUGGCGAAGGCGGCGCUCUGGAACGUUCCUGACGCUGAGGCUCGAAAGCGUGGGGAGCAAACAGGAUUAGAUACCCCCGUAGUCC
rnacentral:rRNA from 1 species